rnacentral:rRNA from 1 species
UACGGGAGGCAGCAGUGGGGAAUAUUGGGCAAUGGGCGAAAGCCUGACCCAGCGACGCCGCGUGAGGGAAGAAGGUCUUCGGAUUGUAAACCUCUUUCAGCAAGGAAGAAGAAAGUGACGGUACUUGCAGAAGAAGCCACGGCUAACUACGUGCCAGCAGCCGCGGUAAU